GCUCUUCCGUUUUUUUUUCUUCCUUAACUUUAGGAGCACCGUAGACGUUGGACUUUGUGACAGUUAAUCAACAAUUGUUCAUUACCACAACAGAAUUCCUAGCUGCCCAUUAACUCAAGACCUUUUAUAAUGCUGUAAUGUAAUUUCUUUGCAGGCAUUUGGCCAUCCAAAAGAUGGAGUAUGCCUAAAAUACACUCUUGUUACGCCGACUAUUGCACGGUAGAUGGCAGCAGUACAGCAGCGCAAUGCUCGUCGACUGUAACUCAAAAAGAAGAACCUGCAGCUCAACCAUGUUUUAAUCGAGAACAAUUGCAUUUGGCGCACUGCAUGGCUUUCCUAUAAAGAAACCUUCUGAUUGUAUGUUGGGUUGUCCCCCUAGUUAAGAGCACAAUCAGCCCAGAUUCAACGUUAGGGUUUGCACACUGAGGACCAUGAUGGAGAGAAAACGAGCCUUAACCAUUCCAUUUGCUCUUGAGAAGGACAAAUUAAUAGAGAAUCCACUCAGAAUCCCCACAUCAUACCUUGAGUGUGAACGAUUUGAACAACAGGUUUCCUGGACUGCAAUUGCCGGCCAUAAAUCCAGACGACGUGAUUCACGACACAAGAAUGGAGCAGUGCUGUUUGACCAUAACCAUGCUGCUAUGGUUAGGUUGGGCUUGGCAGUGAGGAAGCCCCGUCUGAUUCUGACAGAUGUCCUCAAGACUGACGCGGGCAAGGUUUACAUGGAGAAGAUAAAACGGCGCCCAAAUGGGAAGGAGAGGAGAAGUCGUGGCAAAGAUCCACCCAUAGUCGCCAGGGACAGGCGGUCCAGUCAAACAAAAAACACAAACUUACUACCGAGUGUACCACCUAGGAUCAAGCAGACUCCCAAAUUAUCACGAUCAAGUCCAAGAUCUUCAAAAAAGGCACAAAUUGAGAAGGAGGAGGAUGGACAAGGAGAUAAUGACGUGGUAUCUGGUGAAAAUGGGAACGUUGAACUUGUGGAUUGUGGAUUGUCUCUGAGUUGGGAACAAGAAGAUCUAAAUUUAUCUAAAUGUAAGGCCAAAGAAACAUCGAAAGAACCAAAAAAGACAAUACAGCAGGUCAGAUGUGCUGAAGCCCCACUUUUCUUUGAUAAUUGUUCGUCGUUACAAAGACUUUUACAUUCACACCUUGCUAUGUUUUUACAGAAAAGGAAAACAAAUGACUCAUUUUCAGAAUGUCCUGAAACAGACAGCCCCAAACGCCCCAGGGCGAGUGUUUUGCGCCUCUCUGGAGUUGCGAAUAUGGAUGGAGAACCCACCCUUUUUCCAGAGAAAGAAGCAGAUGACAAGGAUUCGAAAAACACAGAUAGUCCUAUUGUGCAGUUUACUGUGGGAGGAGCAAAUGCAGAAACCACAAUGCCCGUGCCAGAGGAUAAUGGUGCAACCACUGACACAGCUGAACCUAUUGUUCUUUCCAGUGAUGAAGAAGACGGUGGGGAAAAAAUUGAGAAUCUGAAACCUAUCUCACAGAAGCCCUUGUUCCCCAACAGAUGCCAGAAGCUGUACAGGAUAUGCAGGUGUUUCAACUACCUGUGA
ensembl:lncRNA